rnacentral:lncRNA from 1 species
CUUUGCGGCAGAUCAACAUCGACAACCUAAAAUCUUAGUUCGAUUUUCGAUUUAAAAUCAAAUUUUAAAAUUUGAUUUUAUAGUUGAAUUUUAAAUUAUUACUCAGAUUUAAAAUUCAGAAUUGAUGAAUUUCAAAUGAACACCUUUCACACUUAUAUUUUAAAUAUUACUUUUGACUUUUAAAUAUCAAAUAUCAAAUUUAAAAUU